rnacentral:misc_RNA from 1 species
UUCGUCACAUCCGGUGAUGUUACGCUCAUCCGCUUCCUAUACCUCGUUACACCUCAAGAACGCAAUACAUGAAACUCUCAGCAUAUAGAGUUCUGUCAACAGGUGUACUAAAAGAGGUACGAUUAUUUGUUGUGAUCAGUAUAUCCCAUCCAGAUUUGUACGUGUUACAGCUUUGGAGUGAUUGAUAAAAUCUUUCGUCGUCAUGGCACAGGAUAAUCCAGCUUUCGAACUUAAGAACGAAACAAACGCCGCAGGAAAAGAAAGCCAGACAAAAGUUGAUGAAACACAGGCGUCUAUUGUGGAAGUCACAAACGAAGGCAGAGUUAGGGGUGACAUCUUAUACACAGUGGAUGAAGCUCCUCGUUGGUACCUCUGUAUCCUACUUGGGAUUCAGCAAUAUCUGACGAUGUUCGGGUCGACUGUGGCAUAUCCUUAUUUGGUCACACCAAAGCUCUGCAUCCAAGACUCCGACCCAGCUCGAGGGUACAUAACAUCAACAAUAUUUUUUGUGUCAGGCUUAGGGACCCUAAUCCAGUCAACAUUCGGUACAAGGCUCCCGAUAAUUCAAGGCUCGUCUUCUGCCUUUCUGGCUUCGAUAUUUGCUAUUUUGAACUUACCUCAGUGGAAGUGUCCUAGUGAGGAAGAAAUGCUGUCGGCAACAGAAGACGAGCUACAAGAAAUCUGGCAACUCCGAAUGAGAGAGAUCCAAGGUGCUAUCAUUGUGGCGUCCAUCUUUGAAACGGUUAUUGGACUCACAGGUGUUAUUGGAAUAAUACUUCAGUGGUUAACUCCUUUAGUUAUUGUCCCAACCAUAGCGUUGAUAGGACUUUCUCUAUUCGAAGAAGCAGCUUCUGAAGCUAGUAAAAACUGGGGAAUAGCGAUUUUAACAAUUUUCCUUCUUGUGCUCUUCUCACAGUACCUCCGAAAUGUUAAUAUUCCUGGUUGUAGCUACAGUAAAGAAACAGGAUGGAAGCUCAAACGAUUCCCCCUUUUCAAGCUUUUUCCAGUGUUACUUACCAUAAUUACUGCGUGGGUUCUUUGUACCAUACUAACUGCUGCAGGUGCCCUAGGACCAACCAACAAAGCCAGAACUGAUCUUCAUGUACAGACGAUGUACUCCAGCCUCUGGUUUAGGUUUCCUUAUCCAGGACAAUGGGGUUUACCAACAGUCAGUAUUGGUGCAGUUUUUGGAAUAUUUGCAGCAGUAUUAGCGUCGAUAGUGGAAUCGGUAGGAGAUUACUACGCAUGCGCGCGACUAUCUUGUGCACCUCAUCCUCCAACAAGCGCCAUAAAUCGUGGAAUUUUUGCGGAAGGUAUUUCCUGUAUCCUCUCUGGAAUCUGGGGAUCUGGAGGCGGGCUAACUUCCUAUAGUGAAAAUAUUGGAGCAAUUGGAGUAACAAAAGUAGCUAGUCGACGGGUUGUUCAGUGUGGUGCUGUUACCAUGAUGAUUCUUGCAGUUCUGGGAAAGUUUGGAGCCUUCUUCAACACUAUUCCUGAGCCCAUUAUUGGAGGAAUCUUCUGUGUCAUGUUUGCAAUUGUAACGGGAGUUGGACUGUCCAAUGUCCAAUUCAUCGACCUCCACUCAUCCAGAAAUAUUCUUAUCCUUGGAUUAUCUUUAUUUAUGGGGAUUACCAUUCCAAAGUGGUUUAAGGGCCACCCAGGUACUAUUGAUGUAGGGAAUGACGCAGCAAACCAACUCAUUACAGUUCUUUUGAACACCAGUAUGUUUAUUGGUGGACUCAUUGCGUUUGUAUUAGACAAUUCCAUACCAGUCUGUUCGUAAAAUGUUUACGAAUCCUUUUGACUGUCCCUUCACAAAGUGUUCACUUGAAGUUACGUCAAAGUGAAACUAAGAUCCCCCGAAAGCUCAAUGGGACAGAUGAAGAAAGAGGACUCAUCAAAUGGAGAGAACAAGGUCUAGAACAUAAUAUAUCUGAAGCUGAUGAGUCGACACUUUCGUCACCUUCAACCUAUGACCUCCCGUUC